GCGAAGGUUACCAUGCYGUCGAGCGGAGAGAGGUAGCUUGCUACUGAUCUUAGCGGCGGACGGGUGAGUAAUGCUUAGGAAUCUGCCUAUUAGUGGGGGACAACAUUUCGAAAGGAAUGCUAAUACCGCAUACGUCCUACGGGAGAAAGCAGGGGAUCUUCGGACCUUGCGCUAAUAGAUGAGCCUAAGUCGGAUUAGCUAGUUGGUGGGGUAAAGGCCUACCAAGGCGACGAUCUGUAGCGGGUCUGAGAGGAUGAUCCGCCACACUGGGACUGAGACACGGCCCAGACUCCUACGGGAGGCAGCAGUGGGGAAUAUUGGACAAUGGGCGCAAGCCUGAUCCAGCCAUGCCGCGUGUGUGAAGAAGGCCUUAUGGUUGUAAAGCACUUUAAGCGAGGAGGAGGCUACUUUAGUUAAUACCUAGAGAUAGUGGACGUUACUCGCAGAAUAAGCACCGGCUAACUCUGUGCCAGCAGCCGCGGUAAUACAGAGGGUGCAAGCGUUAAUCGGAUUUACUGGGCGUAAAGCGCGCGUAGGCGGCUAAUUAAGUCAAAUGUGAAAUCCCCGAGCUUAACUUGGGGAAUUGCAUUCGAUACUGGUUAGCUAAAGUGUGGGRAGAAGAUGGUAAAAUUCCAGGUGUAGCGGUGAAAUGCGUAAAAAUCUGGAGGAAUACCGAUGGCGAAAGGAGCCAUUUGGCCUAACAUGAC
rnacentral:rRNA from 1 species